GGGGCUGUGGCUCAGUGGAAUAGCCUCUGUUUGGCAUGCAGAAGGUCUCAGGAUCAAUCCUCAACAUCUCCA
rnacentral:tRNA from 1 species